rnacentral:rRNA from 1 species
GACGUAGGGCGCGAGCGUUGUCCGGAUUUAUUGGGCGUAAAGAGCUCGUAGGCGGCUUGUCGCGUCGGUCUGUGAAAUCCCGCGGCUCAACUGCGGGCUGGCAGUCGAUACGGGGCAGGCUGGAGGUUCGGUGAGGGGAGACUGGAAGUUCCUGGUGUAGCGGUUGGAAUGACGCGAGAUAUCAGGAGGAAACACCCAGCGGCGGAAGGCGGUGCUCUGGGCCG